UAGCGGCGGACGGGUGAGUGGCACGUGGGUAACCUGCCUCAUAGAGGGGGAUAGCCUCCCGAAAGGGAGAUGUGAAUACCGCAUAAUAUCAUGCUCUCGCAUGGGAGAAUGAUCAAAGGAGUAGUGCGCGCUAUGAGAUGGACCCGCGGCGCAUUAGCUAGUUGGUGAGGUAAAAGCUCACCAAGGCGACGAUGCGUAGCCGACCUGAGAGGGUGAUCGGCCACAUUGGAACGGAGACACGGUCCAGACUCCUACGGGAGGCAGCAGUGGGGAAUAUUGCGCAAUGGGCGAAAGCCUGAUGCAACAACGCCGCGUGAGUGAUGAAGGCCUUCGGGUUGUAAAGCUCUGUCUUUUGGGACAAUAAUGACGGUACCAAAGGAGGAAGCCACGGCUAACUACGUGCCAGCAGCCGCGGUAAUACGUAGGUGGCAAGCGUUGUCCGGAUUUACUGGGCGUAAAGGAUGCGUAGGUGGAUAUUUAAGUGGGAUGUGAAAUACCCGGGCUUAACCUGGGUGCUGCAUUCCAAACUGGAUAUCUGGAGUGCAGGAGAGGUGAGUGGAAUUCCUAGUGUAGCGGUGAAAUGCGUAGAGAUUAGGAAGAACGCCGGAGGCGAAGGCGACUUACUGGACUGUAACUGACACUGAGGCAUGAAAGCGUGGGGAGCAAACAGGAUUAGAUACCCUGGUAGUCCACGCCGUAAACUAUGGGUACUAGGUGUGGGAGGUAUCGACCCCUUCCGUGCCGCCGUUAACACAAUAAGUACCCCGCCUGGGGAGUACGGUCGCAAGAUUAAAACUCAAAGGAAUUGACGGGGGCCCGCACAAGCAGCGGAGCAUGUGGUUUAAUUCGAAGCAACGCGAAGAACCUUACCUAGACUUGACAUCUCCUGAAUUACCCGUAACUGGGGAAGUCCUUCGGGACAGGAAGACAGGUGGUGCAUGGUUGUCGUCAGCUCGUGUCGUGAGAUGUUGGGUUAAGUCCCGCAACGAGCGCAACCCUUAUCAUUAGUUGCUACCAUUAAGUUGAGCACUCUAGUGAGACUGCCCGGGUUAACCGGGAGGAAGGUGGGGAUGACGUCAAAUCAUCAAGCCCCUUAUGUCUAGGGCUACACACGUGCUACAAUGGUGAGUACAGAGAGACGCAAGACCGUGAGGUGGAGCAAAACUAUAAAAGUCAUCCCAGUUCGGACCCACCGCUGAAACUCGCCUUCAUGAAGCAGGAGUUGCUAGUAAUCGCGAAUCAGCAUGUCGCGGUGAAUACGUUCCCGGGCCUUGUACACACCGCCCGUCACACCACGAGAGUUGGCAAUACCCAAAGUCCGUGAGGU
rnacentral:rRNA from 1 species